rnacentral:rRNA from 1 species
ACUCAAAGGAAUUGACGGGGAGGCGCACAAGCAGUGGAGCAUGUGGUUUAAUUCGAUACAAAGCGAAAAACCUCACCAGGGUUUGACAUUGGCCUGCAAGCGCACGGAAACGUGUGACCUUCGAGGGUGGCCAACAGAUGCUGCAUGGCUGUCGUCAGCUCGUGGCGUGAGCUGUACGGUUAAGUCCGGUAACGAGCGCAACCCGCGCCAUAUGUUAAAUUAUUCAUAUGGGACAGCCCCACUUUGUGGGGAGGAAGGAGCGGAUGACGUCAAGUCAGCACGGCUCUUACACCCUGGGCUACACACAUCCUACAAUGGCGAAUAACAACGAGCAGCAAGCUAGUAAUAGCAAGCAAAUCUCUUAAAUUUCGCCUCAGUUCAGAUUGAGGGCUGCAAUUCGCCCUCAUGAAGUCGGAAUUGCUAGUAAUCGCAAAUCAGCAGGUUGCGGUGAAUACGUUCUCGCCUCUUGUACACACCGCCCGU